AUGGCUUUCUUCCUGGCGCACUUCCCGUCGAGGCUCCCUCCCAACAGCGUCGGGGAGAACCUCGCUCUCUUCAACGACAGCAACCGCUUCAACGCCGCCGGCGAUGACCGCAUCGUCGCUGUGGAGUUCGACGCCUACCCCAACUCCUGGGACCACAGCGACAACCACAUCGGCAUAGACGUGAACAACAUCAACUCCAGCGCCUACACAAACGUGACGAAGCGCUUGGUCUCUGACGACGCGGUCAUGACUGCCGAGAUCAGCUACGACAACCGCACAGGUGUCCUGAUCGCUCGUCUUCGCAUCGACGAUGACGAGCCGUACAUGAUGAACACGUCGGUGGACAUGAAGGCGGAUUUGCCUCAUGAAGUUGCAAUCGGCUUCGCCGCAUCAACUGGCCUCUGCAGCGAGCUGCAUCAGGUGAUGUCUUGGUCAUUUAGCUCCACUCUAGAUGAUGCCACGGUGGCUACUAGCAGCACCAGUCCCCCGCGGCGACUAGUGCGUGUACUAGUGCCUUCCGUAGUAGUAGCUUUUCUUGUGUUGCUCUGCGCCAUCGUUGUCGUUCUAGUCCGUCGGCGACGCAUAUGGGAGAAGCUAGACGAUUCCGAUGACGAAAAACGCGAGCAGGCUGAGUUCGAGAGAGGGAUAGGCCCUAGACGGUACCGCUACCGUGAGCUCGCGGCUGCGACCAAGGACUUCGCGGAGGAGGGGAAGCUCGGGCGAGGUGGCUUCGGCAACGUGUAUCGGGGCAGCCUGAGCGACCAAGACCGCCCAGUGGCCAUCAAGAUGCUCUCCGCGGAAUCAUCUGCGCAGGGGAGGAAAGAGUUUGAAUCCGAGGUGAAGAUCAUAAGCCGGCUGAGGCACCGGAAUCUUGUGCACUUGUUAGGCUGGUCUGAUAGCCGCAAAGGACUCCUGCUCGUCUACGAGCUUGUGCCGGAAGGCAGCCUUGAUCGAUACAUAUACAACACUGAUCGUCUACUCACUUGGUCAGAGAGAUACAGAAUUAUCCUUGGCUUGGGAUCUGCACUACACUAUCUCCACACAGAGUGGGAUCAGUGUGUGCUGCAUGGUGACAUCAAACCAAGCAACAUACUUCUCGACUCAUCACGCAGCGCCAAGUUGGCGGAUUUUGGCCUGGCGAGGCUCGUGGAGCAUGGAGCCGGACCGCGGACAACGCAUGUUGUCAUGGGCACCGCAGGGUACAUAGACCCGGAGUUCGUCCGCACACGCAGGCCGACCACCGAAUCCGACGUCUACAGCUUUGGCAUCGUCGUGUUGGAGGUAGUGUCCGGCCGCCGGCCGGACACGGAGAUGGAGAUGGAGCAACCAACAGCAGCUGACAAAGUAUACAUGGCACUGCCGCUGCUCAAGUGGAUCUGGAACCUGUACGAGAAGAGCGCCAUUGUUGAAGCGGUGGAUGAAAGGCUAAAGGGAGACAAGCAGCUCGACGAUUGCAAGUGGCAGCUACACCGGGCGCUGGUUGUCGGGCUCUGGUGCACGCACCCGUGCCCGGGUGUGCGGCCGUCCGUUGUGCAGCUCAUGAACGUCUUGCAAUCUGAGGACGUCACGCUGCCGACCCUGUCAAGGCCGGGGCCGUCCGACAUUUCUCCUGGAUCACAUGCCUACAACGCGUCGUCGUCGGUCAAUGUCUGCAGUGAUGAUGUGUCUUGGGCCACCACUGGCAGAUGA
rnacentral:rRNA from 1 species